AUGGUGAGUUCUCUUGCCCCAAAGAAAACAGGAGUUCCCAAGUGGGACGAGACGGUGUCUUCUGCGCAGCUGGACUUCAACCUGCAGGCUCUUCUGGAACAGCUCAGCCAGGAUGAGUUGAGCAAGUUCAAGUCUCUGAUCAGGACCGUAUCCCUGAGAAAUGAGUUACAAAAGAUUCCCCGGAUGGAGAUGGAGACCAUCCAGGUCUUUGAAAAAAUGCACCAAGCAGAUCUGUCUGAGAAAGUAAAGGAUGAACUCAGAGAAGCCGCUUUGAAAUCAAACCUGCAUCAUUAGGGAAAACACGGAAAGAAGAGCCAAAACCUGUAGACCUGAAAGAAAUGCCAGAACGUUUCGAAGCAGAAGCACUAGAGUUUUUAGAAACAAAGGAAGAUGACACCAGCCUGAGAGAAGCUAAACAAGCAUUGAAAGGAGAAAAGCCAGGUAAAGAGGAUAGGUACAGAAGUAUAUUGAAAACAAAGUUCCCGCAAAUGUGGAAAACCUGGCCUGGAGACAGCAAAGUGGUCCAUAUUGCGGCUCAGAGAUACAAGAUGCUGAUCCCGUUCAGCAACUCCAGGGUGCUUCCUGCGCCCUGCCCACACACGUGUGCUGCAUGGUCCUGCGGGCCUUGGGAAAACCACGCUGGCCAAGAAAUUAAUGCUGGACUGGACAAAGGACAACCUCAGCCAGAAAUUCAGAUAGGCUUUCUACCUCACCUGCAAGGAGCUCGUCUGCCUGGGCCCAUGCAGUUUUGCAGAGUUGGUCUUCAGGGACUGGCCUGAAUUGCAGGAUGACAUUCCAAACAUCCUAGCCCAAGCACAGAAAAUCCUGUUCGUGGUCGAAGGCUUUGAUGAGCUGGGAGUCCCACCUGGGGCGCUGAUCCAGGACAUCUGCGGGGACUGGGAGAAGCAGAAGCCGGUGCCGGUCUUCCUGGGGAAGUCGCUGAAGAGGAAGAUGUUAUCCAAGGCCGCCCUGCUGGUCACCACCUGGCCUGGGGGCCCUGAGAGACCUCCGGCUCCUGGUAAGGGUGGAGGGGUUCCUGGAGGAGGACAGGAGGGCAUAUUUCCUGAGACACUUUAGAGACGAGGACCAAGCCAUGCAUGCCUUUGAGCUGACGAGAAGAAACGCGGUCCUGUUCCAGCCUGUCUCGGUGCCCACGGUGUGCUGGAUCGUGUGCACGAGUCUGAAGCUGCAGAGGUAGAAGGGGAAGACCACCCCCCCAACUCUCCCCACCCGCACGGGGCUGUUCCUGCACUUCCUUGCCUCUGUUCCUCAGUGCACACAGCUCUGCGGCGCGCUGCGGGCGCUGAGCCUCCUGGCUGCUGAGGGCAAAUGGGCGCAGAUGUCCGUGUUCCGUGGAGAGGACUUGGCAAGGCUCGGGAUGCAGGAGUCCGACAUCAGCCCGUCCCUGGACAGAGGCAUCCUCCGCCAGGACAGAGUCUCUAAAGGCUGCUACUCCUCCAUCCACCUCAGCUUCCAGCAGUUUUUCACUGCGCUGUUCUGCAUCCUGGAGAAGGAGGAGGAGGAGGACAAGGACGGCCACGCCUGAGACAUUGGGGACGUGCAGAAGUUGCUUUCCAGAGAAGAAAGACUCAAGAACCCCGACCUAAUCUAAGCAGGACACUUCUUAUUCGGCUUCGCCAACGAGAAGAGAGCCAAGGAUUUGGAGACCACUUUUGGCUGCCUGAUGUCACCGGAGAUCAAACAGGAAUUACUGUGAUGAGACAUAAAUUGUGAAAAGGAUGAACACUCAACAAUGACAAACCUGAAGGAGCUGUUGUGCUAUCUGUACGAGUCUCAGGAGGAGGAGCUGGUGAAGGGGUUGACGGCGCCAUUCAAAGAAAUAUCCCUGCACUUAAAUGCAGUAGACAUUAUGCUGUUUUCAUUCUGCCUCAAGCAUUGUCGAAACUUGCAGAAAAUGCCACUGCAGGUAAUAAAGGCAAAGCUCUCAGAGAAUGUCACUGUGUCUGAAUCAGAUGCUGAAGUUGAGAGAUCCCAGGAUGAUCAACACAUGCUUCCUUUCUGGACCGACCUUUGUUCCAUAUUUGGCUCAAAUAAGGAUCUGAUCGUUGUAGAAAUCAAUAAUAGCUUUCUUAGUGCCUCACUAGUAAGAAUCCUGUGUGAACAAAUAGCAUCUGACACCUGUCGUCUCUGGAGAGUGGUGUUCAAAAACAUUUCCCCAGCUGAUGCUUAUCGGAACCUCUUACUAGCUCUUUGAGGUCACAAAACUGUAACAUAUCUGGCCCUUCAAGGCAAUGACCAGAAUGAUGUGCUUCCUGCAUUGUGUGAGGUCUUGAGACACUCAAAAUGUAACCUGCAAUAUCUCCGGUUGGUGUCUUGUUCUGCCACCACUAAGCAAUGGGCUGAACUCUCCUUGGCCCUUGAAGUCAACCAGUUCCUGACAUGUGUAAACCUCUCCCACAAUGAGCUCUUGGAUGAGGGUGCCAAGUUGCUGUACACAACUUUAAGACACCCAAAAUGCUUCCUGCAGAGGCUGUUGUUGGAAAACUGUCACUUUACAGAAGCCAAUUGCAAGAACUUUGCUGCUGUUUUGGUUGUCAGCCAGGAGCUGACACACCUGUUCUUGGCCAAGAACCCCCGCUUGGGGAUACAGGGGUGACAUUUCUGUGUAAGGGCUUGAGUUACCCCGAGUGUAAACUACAGACCCUGGUGCUGUGGGACUGCAAUAUAACUGCAAUAGCUGCUGUUAUCUCGCAGUGGUUCUCCAAGAAAAAUCAAGCCUAACGUGCUUGGAUCUGGGACUGAAUCACAUAGGAGUUACUGGAGUGAAGCUCCUAUGUGAGGCUUUGAAGAAACCACUGUGUAACUUGAGAUGUCUGUGAUUGUGGUGGUGUUCUAUCCCUCCAUUCAGCUGUGAGGACCUCUGCUCUGUGCUCAGCUGCAACCAGAGCCUCGUCACUCUGGACCUGAGCCAGAAUCCCUUGGAGUCUAGUGGAAUCUUUGCUGUUUGAAACCUUAACACAUCCAAAUUGCACCCUGAAGACACUCAGGUUGAAAAUAGAUGACUUUAAUGAUGAACUUGAUAAGCUGCUGGAAGAAAUAGAAGAAAACAACCCACAACUGCCUGUUGAUACUGAUAAACAUGAUCCCUGGGGGGGUGGGGAGGGGGAAGCUUCCUUCUCAUUACUUCAUUAUCUGAAUCCCCCUAGAGUCAUUCAUUCUCAAUGA